UUUAAUUAUGAACACUAUAACCCUGUGAAGAGUUAUUGCCAAUGGCAGGGAUGUAGUUGUGCAUGAAAAAGAGCGCGUUAAUAAUUAUGAGAUAUUGUAAUUGUUGCGUUUGUUUAUUUAGUAAUUUAUAAACAAGAAUCCAAAAGGAAACGCUGUUAACUAUAGUGCUAAUCAUAUACGAUGUUAAAUCUAGAAACGUGUCGGGGCGACAAUAGACGACUCAGUGAGUAACAACCUAUGAUGGAAUGGAUUUGCUAUCCAAAAACCUAAUAGGAAUACCAAAAUAAGCUCUUUGGGGUGAUGUCUAGUAAUAGACUAUAAGACAUGUCUUCUGAUCGAGUAGCCAAACCCUAAAUGUUCAAGUCCUGGUGAAAGUUAUAGGUAUAAUUCCUAUUUAAGAUCAAAGGGUAAAAAGCAGAUUCGUCGCUAGUUUCUGUUCACUUUAUCUGCUUAGUGGAUGAAUAAACAAAUAUAUAUGAUCGGUAAGAAGAAAUUCUAUAGUGUUCAUAAUUAA
rnacentral:sRNA from 1 species